AGCUCUGAGAGCAGCAGUGAGACAGAGAGAGGCUGAAGGAUCAGUCAGGAGAUGGACACGAGCUACUCACUCACACCAGCAGAUAGGGAGGCACAGGGAAGAGUCUGGCACCAGAUUAGAUGAGAGGGAAGAGGAAAGUCAGGCUGGUGAAGCAAAGGGAACACAGAAACGUGACAGCUGUGAAAGGAGUUCUGGGAGGAGGAGGGAUGAGUUGUUUGAGUGCUGGAGCUGAUUUAUUCACUUUCUGUGGGAAACUAGCUGCAGAUCCCAGUCCACUGUCAGUUCUGAACAUCUGGACAGAUUCUGAACUUACAUCCAAACUCUGUGUUCCUUCUCUUCUCACAGUUUCUUGCCCUUCUCUUUGUCUCUCUUACGUGUCUCUUCUUGCUCUGGUGACAGCUGAAUGCUCCCUGAGAGUGCAGAGCUUGAGGAUUUCCCUAUGGGAAAUGUUUCUGGACUUUCUCAGGACAGUAGGGGGCUGUUCCUUGGAUCAGCACCUGUGAUGGACGUGGAGCAGUGCCCAGCCCUAGGAGCUGGCAAUAAAAUAUAAAUGCACCUUUCUCCAUCCCCUCUUUGGCGCUGUUCAGAACAGCAGGAUGAUGCCAGGGAAUUUUGGGUACUCUAAGCAUGUUCAUAUAAUAUUCGAUCUUAUUCAGCUUUGUUUUGUUGCUUUUUAACCUUUCGAAGCAGGUUUUACUUUCUUCUCUACAAAAGUAAACAACUGAUUCCAGGGCCAGUAAAAAUAUAAUCCCUUCAUAAGGCCUGAAGCUGAGCCCUUCCCAGUAGUGUUAUGGCAGGUCAUUGUUCUGUCAAAAGAUUAUUAACUUUUCUUGGUGUUAAAAUAUAAAUAAAUAAGUAGGAAAGUUGUAUGUGUCCCCAGGGCACUUGCUCAGCUAUGAAAAUACCAAGUACAAGUACAUUUCUCAUUACAGAAAGGAGAAUGGGGAUAUGUUUGGAACAAUAGUAAUCAAUUUCAGAAAUGCUGUGAUUUAUUGGGCAUGGCAGUUUCAGAUUUUUGAAGCAUGUGUAAUACUAUUUUCUCCCCAUCCCUUUUAUACAGACAGAUAAAACUUUUGGUGGAACUAGAACACAAUUCACAUGAUGCAUAAUGCUAAAGAAACAAGGACACAAUAAUUCAUAACAAGUUGCUCUGCUCUUCCCAGAGACAGAUUUUAUUACCAAAGAUUUGGUAUCUGCUUUAAUAACAUUUUUUUUUCUUUUUUUUUCUUUUUUUUUUUCUUUUUUUUUUUUUUUUUUGAUAUGGUUCAUCACUUUCCCAGAGUUUAAAAGCCAUGAAGAGAAAGAUGAGAAUUCUUCUCUUUCAGGAGGGAGUUUUUUCUUCUUGGUCGGCAUGGUAGGAGUUUGUCAGAACGUCACAGAGAUCUAUGAAGUGGCUGCAGACUAAUGUCAUUGGGAAUGAGAGGAGAUUUUGAUCCUGUUUGUUGGAAAGGAAACUUGAAGUAAUGAGCCCAGAGUACAAGGAGACCACUGGAGCUGGAAGAUUUGGAAGCUGCAUGGCAGGAUCAUAAUAGCCACUGGACUUUCAGGCAAAGACAGCAUUCUAGUAACCCUUUCCUGGCUCGUGGUGGUUUUGAAAGGAAGUAAAUAAUUUCCCAUUUAACAAUCCCAAGGAAGAUCCACUGCUGGCAGUGCUGUGUGUUGGCUGUUGAUCCAGAGGAGCAGGUACCCCUGUUCACAAGUUUCACUAACUCUCCUGCAUUCCAAAGAGUUUGGAUCCAAUACCUUAUAGAAAACAGCAAAAUGAGGGCAGUUUCCAGAUAAGCAAAUGCUGGAUUCAGAUAUGGAAACUAAACAAGAACUCUGCAGGUCAGGACUCAAGACAAAUUCCAGAACUGAAUGGAACAAAGCCCAUACAAGCUUGAGGUGUCCUUUUGGAGAGAGAGCAAGAACGUUGGAGAAGUCCUGUGUUUAUAUCUUUAUUUCCAAAAUCCUGUUGUCUUAUGAUGUAUUAGAUUGCCAAUUCAGAUGCUUCCAGAAACCUGGUCUAGUGCCCUCACCUAGGCUGUCUAGGGUAAGCCAACUCAGAAUUGCAAGAAUCUGUGAAACUGGACCAAAUUAAAUUUCUUUGACUCUUAUUGAUACAACCUUCUUCAAGCUUUAGAAUCUUUAGCAGAAGGAAGACUUUUAAAGUGUCAAGCAUGAUAGAGAUCACAGCAGGAGUGCACACUGACAGGCCUCCCCCUAAAACAUUCUCCAGCUGAGUUAUGCCCCUGAGUCAUGGAAUUCACACCCCAACCCCUCCACUGACGCAAACUUUGGAGAGCAGCUCUGUGGAGGAUAACCUAAGCGCUGCCUCCCGAGCUGCAGUGUGCUGUCCCUCCUUGUUAUUGUAACAUCGAUGUACAUAUCUUCCUUUCCUCAUUUGUUACAUCCUAAUGUCAUUAGGACGAGCCUGCAGCAAUUUUAAGAGCUGCCUGCCCAGCCUCUUUGACGUCAUUGCAGAAAGGUCUCGGCUGCAGACCCUGCAUAUACACUCUGUGAUAUAGUGUAUAAAAAUCCGUGUCAGGGCUGGCUCUCAGGGAGCUCUGGAAAUGAUUCAGCUGUCUGGAAUGGGCAGAUGGCUGCUAUCAAAGUUUUAUUAUCACCAUCAUUAUUAUUACAGUGGUUUGUGACACAUACUGAACUUUCAGACUAGUGUUAAAGCUAAAGUCUUUGAGCAACACUUUCUGAAAUUCAAAUCCCUCAGCUCCUUUCCAAUCUGACUCCAAAAAGCAGGAGUAGGUUUAAAGCUAAUUAGACAGAUUGCUUGGUUCCACUUCCAACUUUCAGAAUAAUUAUCUGAAAAUUCUUGUUCUCAUGUAAACGCAACUGUUAACUAUUUUUAAUUGCUUUGAUUUAUUGCAGAACUUAAAUUCAGUACACAUUGAACGUUCAGCAGGGUGGAAAGAAAAUUUGCUUUAGUUAAGGGUGCAUAUGGAUUGGAUUGUCUACCAAGUUUUUACUCUUUGAAAAAGCUUGUACUCAACCUAGGCUACUGCACACUGCCUGCUGGAGGCAUCCUCUAUAACUAAGCAUUCUGAGGCAUUUCUGGGCAGAAAUCUUCUCCUAUUUGUUUUUCCUUCGUCAUCAACCUGUUCCCCCUCACUUAGAGAUGUCUCAGGCAAGGUAUCUACAGGGCAAGAUUUCCUUUAUUAAGGGACAGUUUGUUUCAUGGUAUCUUGGGUUAUGUAACCAAUAAAGUGUAUUCUAUUUCAUCUGUAGAAAACAGUUAGGGGAUGGUUUCUUUUUUCUUUAUCUUUUGUAACUCCAUGGGGGAGGAGGGUGGAUACCUUCUGAUAAUAGACCAGUUGUUAAAACCAGGUGGGGCAGUGUUUCUUAUCUUUUUCAUCAACUUUGUCCACCCUCCAGGGGAUAUCUUCUGUUAAUGGGCCAUUGAGGCUCACCACUGACAUGACCCAGUACAUCAUCCCAUUGUGAGAUGCUCCACCCAGCGGGGAGGAGCCAAUCAUUGCUACCAAGAUAAAAACUGAGAAGUAGGAACACCAAGAUAAAAACUGAGACGUAGGAACACCAAGCAUCCGGUUUUCCACUGGAUUCCCAGAGGAAGUCUGGACCCAUCUCACCAUCACUGGACCCUUUUUCUACAGGAUCAUCUCUACUCCAACAGAACCACCCCUGUCACUCCUGGAAGAUUUAUUUGGACUGCUUCCAACAUCCUGACCAACAGGGUGUCAGGUUGUAUCUCUGACUCUGUCAGGGUUUUCUAGGACUUUUGUUUGGUUGGUUCCUUUUUUUUUUUUUUUUUUUUUUGUACUACUGCAUUUAUAUUUUUAAUAUUCCUAGUAAAGAACUGUUAUUCCUAUUCCCAUAUCUUUGCCUGGAAAACCCUGAAUUGCAAAAUUAUAAUAAUUUGGAGGGAGGGGGUUUACAUUUUCCAUUCCAAGGGGAGCUCCAACUUUCACCUGUCUUUCCAAACCAAGACACAUGGUUACCUACCCUUUGUAGCUUCAUUUUGUUCAGUAUCUUCAUAACACCCUGGAGACCCUUCCAGUGUCAGAAACUCUGCCUCUGGAAGUGCUCUUCUAGCCUAGGCUGGGUCUGAUAUGCUCUUUCCCAGAGAGAAAGGAAAACAAAACCACUUUUCAUUCCUUCUCUUUCUAAGUAUGGUUCUAUUCUCUGUUCCCUUCUUCAGUAACAGAAUUCUGCAUCCAGAUAAGUAUGACAGUAAUUGUUGCUUGUCAUUCCAGACACUCACAGAGAACCACUAAUUGUUCUUUAUCUCACUACAUUUAGGUGCUGUGGAAUCUCCUGAGAGAUUUAAAAUAACCUAAUCAUCAAAUGAAGGCACUUUACUGAGCUUAUGUCUGCCUGGUUUUCAGUUAAUUUCCCCAGCAACCUGGAGGGUUUGUCCUGGAAGCUGUGUCUGUAUGCCCUGAAGUUUUUCUCAAACUCUACUCCCACCUGAUAGCAGGCAAAAAAUACAUUUUUCUGACAUCCUUUGUAUACAUUCUCUUGUCUUCCCUCACUAAUUAACAAGACAGAUAGUGGCACAGAGAGGGGGAAUGAGCCAUGUGGACUAAAUUAUACAGUGCUUAGAGUUCAGUGUAUGAAUACAAAGAUAAUUCAUAAGAUUACUUAGCUAGAAGAAACUAAGAUUACUCUCUUUUACCCCCCCUACCUGAGACACUCAGCCUGACUUACUUCUCUACCAUGACAAGCCCUACAGCUGUCCAAGCAUAAGCUACUUGUUGGAUGUGUACUUGGCUUUGUUUCCAGAGGAAAAGGAGGUGUUGGGGAAAGCUGCAACAAAACCAGUUAAUGAUGAGCUGAAACAGCACGAGAAUUGACUUAAUAAAUAAACUUAUGUUAAGUUGUGUAGUGUUGCCACGGUUUUGCUAAUGACAGCCAAGCUCAUUCACUCACAGUUCAGGGAGCUCCUUGCCUGUUUCUUUUCUGAGACAAGCACCUUUUGACACAGGUUCAUAGAGACCCUUUCCACACCCUCCACCCAGCUGCAUGUCCACAUUUCCUUAGGGUCAAGGCAACAGACGCAUUUUUUUGAGUUAUGAGGAGAGUGAUCUGAAGGAGAUUCACAUGCAAGACAUGAUGUUCACUCCUCAGAGUUCCCCUCACUGCACUCCUGAAUUCCUGCAGUCAACAGCCCAAUUCUUGAGUGCUCUUUCACCUCCAAAGGCUGCUGAGCAGGCUGGAACCUGGUCAGACUGUGCAGAUGAAUCCAACAGUUAGCCUGAAGUCUACAUGCUCUGAUUUGUGUUCAUUAAUUAGGUUUGAGUUUGCAUUUUUUGCUAUAGCACUAGAAUCAGAGAAAUUUGAACAAAAAAACAGACCAUUUUUUUUUCCUUUUGAGUUUUGAUUUUUUUCAUGGAAAUUCUGACAGAGCACUCCUUUCCUAUUGCUUUAGGAAACAUUGGCACUUGAUCUGUUUUAUUUCACAUUUACCUACACAGAGCAAUUUCUGUAGCUUGGGAGAACAUCUCAGCUGCAGGCAAGAAGGAAAAAGCACUGGCCUCAUGAAAUUAUAAUAUGAUCUCUGAGCUUGGCUGGUGACCAUCUUCAGAAGCCACAACAGGCAGGACACAGGGUCAGUCAUUUCAUAUUCAUUUCAUAUUCAUAUUUUCAGGCCUUUUCAUAUAAAGAAAAUCAGGAAGGAAGAAGGGAGGGAAGGAGGGAAGGAAGGAAGGAUUUCUGUAACAUAGAACAUGUUUAAGUUAGGAGUCAGUAUUCCACAGAUAUCUAAUUUCAUGGCUAUAAAACAAACAGUAUUUUUGAAGAUCAUAGAAAUAGGUCCUUGUGAACUUUUGAAGACCCUGAGAAACAAACAAUAAUGGGAUUUUUACUUAUUUGAUUUGAUGGAGAUUUUUUUCCCCCUGGAACCAGAGAUGACUUGGCAUUUGAAAGAAAUAGAUGAAUGUGUCAUCCAGUAUAUGGACAUUUAUUUUCAUUUGAGCUCAUUUGGCUGCAGCACACAAAAAGAACGUUUUCAUCAGUCAUUUCUCAGUUAGAAUUUAGCAAUAUAGAAAUAAAAAAAGGCAAAACCGACUGUGAAAUACCACCUCUGCAUAUAGCUAGAUUUUUGGCCCCCUUGAUUUCCUUGUCCUCUGUAUUCCCACACAUACCGUGGGGCAGAACAGGCUACUGUAGAUGUGAGAAGAAAAUGCUCAUCAUUCUGAUUUAAAGCACAUGUCUCAACCACGCUGUCUUUCCUGAGAGUUUAGCCAGUGAUAACACAUUAAAACCCUUCAGAGUCCACUCAGCACAGGGCUGUGUUACAUUUGCACGUUGGCCUUUUCAUUAAAAUUCAUGAGUAGCAGUGCCUUAAACUUGCCUACUACAAGGAUUUUUUUGUUUGGAUAGCCCAGACAGGCCCAUAAAAGCCACCGGUGCUUUACAUUCUAGAUCCAACUCUGCAACAAUAAAAGUCUUUAAAAAUUGCACAUAUAAGGCAUUAAACCAAAUGCCACAAGAAAACUGUAAAACCCCCACAUUGUAUUCUUAAACUGACAACUUAAUCAUUCCCUGUAAGAUUAGUGUCUUUGCCCUGGCUGAAUUAAAAAAGAUCUUACAUUUCGUGGCUAGAAUUCCAGUAAAAUUGGCCAAUGAUACGCAAAUAUUUUCUUCUCCAUUGAAGACUCCAAAUCAAUCAUUUCUGGAAAGGGGCUACUUAUUUUUUAUUUUUAGGAAUGGUAGCGUGAAUAAGUUCUUACAUUAGGUUAGUAGGAUAUAUAGCAGAUUGCCACUAACUUUUUUAGCUAAUCCAUCUAUUUUGUCAUUCUCACCUGAGAAGGGAUCCUUUUCCUUCAGUUCUCAUGAAAGGUUUAAUGUCAGAUUUUCACAUUUUACAAAAGAUUUAACCAAGUGUACAACAUGACAAAUAUGGGUAACCCUGCUGAUGGGAUAACUACAGGGAAUGAGGUUUUGAACCUUGUGGCAGAGGCUCUCCUGUGACAGCUUCAGAUGAGUCUGCAGACAAGUUUAGGUAUAGAUAGGCCUUGAAUUUAAGAUUAUUUGGGUUUAGAAAUUAUGUAUAGACUGCUUAUUGAAACAAAGAAAAGUAUUUCAUGAACCUAAUUAAUUGUUUAAUUUUAAAUAAUUAAAUUUAAUAAUGUCUAAUUAUGAAAAGACUAGAUUAUGUGAAUUUCCUAUCAAAAAUGACAAACCCCAAAAAUAGAAGACUCUUUGAGUCCUGGAUUAUGGAAGAAUUUCUAGAUUUUUUAAUCAAGUUUGAUUUAAAUUCUCAACCAAAAUUAUCUUAUAAAGAUAUAUGCAGGACCUUGGCUCAUAUGUUAUGAAGAUGAAUUCUUCAACUACCUAGAGAGUUUUUAGCAAACCUUGUAAACUAGAAAAUGUAGCAAUGUUGAAUAAUCACUGAUAUUUUCAUGUUUUUAAUAUUUCAGUUGAAGGGGUUUUUUACAGUUCCCUGCAUUUUCAGAAUUUACUUUUUUACAGUUCCCUACAUUCUCACCCCUGAAUUUCCUAUUUUUGUUUUUUUUUCUCUUGGAAUUGGUGAUCUAUAGUUUGAGCAGCUCUUGGGAAGGUGUACAGAGGUACUCAGUUGCUGUUUUAAACCCCAGAGCAGUGGAAGCAGUACAGUGGUGAUGGUGCAGCUGGUUGGGCACUUACCCAACAUUUUCACAUUAGCAUUUGUGGAUCUGCAAUUUGCUUUUUGACUUCUCAUUUGUGAUUUUCAGCUGGUAAUCCCUUCAUUCUGGUAGUAGAGCACAUUCAGCCUCAUCCUUGCUGGGAUUAUGGUAACCUCUGGCAGAGGAGAAAGUGGGAGGCAGGGAGUGAUGACUUCUGCAGU